rnacentral:misc_RNA from 1 species
AAGUCGUAACAAGGUUUCCGUAGGUGAACCUGCGGAAGGAUCAUUAAAUUCAGUAGCUUGCUACUGUUAGGGGGGGUCUAUUAGUCUGUAUAGUAUCACUACUGAUGAGCAGCACGACCCUCUGUCUAUACCCUUGUCUUUUGCGCACUCAUGUUUCCUCGGCGGCUUGAUACCCGCCGGCUGGAUCAAUCUAUAACCUUUUUAAUUUUCAAUCAGCGUCUGAAAAACCUAAUAAUUACAACUUUCAACAACAGAUCUCUUAGUUCUG